AGCGAACGCUGGCGGCAGGCUUAACACAUGCAAGUCGAGCGGGCAUCCUUGUGGUGUCAGCGGCAGACGGGUGAGUAACGCGUGGGAACGUGCCCUUCGGUUCGGAAUAACUCAGGGAAACUUGAGCUAAUACCGGAUACUCCCUUUUGGGGAAAGGUUUACUGCCGAAGGAUCGGCCCGCGUCUGAUUAGCUAGUUGGUGAGGUUAUGGCUCACCAAGGCGACGAUCAGUAGCUGGUCUGAGAGGAUGAUCAGCCACACUGGGACUGAGACACGGCCCAGACUCCUACGGGAGGCAGCAGUGGGGAAUAUUGGACAAUGGGGGCAACCCUGAUCCAGCCAUGCCGCGUGAGUGAUGACGGCCUUAGGGUUGUAAAGCUCUUUUCUCCGGGACGAUAAUGACGGUACCGGAGGAAUAAGCCCCGGCUAACUUCGUG
rnacentral:rRNA from 1 species